rnacentral:rRNA from 1 species
CACGUAGGCACCAAGCGUUGUCCGGAUUUAUUGGGCGUAAAGAGCUCGUAGGCGGUUGAGUAAGUCGGGUGUGAAAACUCUGGGCUUAACCCAGAGCCGCCACUCGAUACUGCUCCGACUUGAGUACGGUAGGGGAGCAGGGAAUUCCUAGUGUAGCGGUGAAAUGCGCAGAUAUCAGGAGGAACACCAGUGGCGAAGGCGGCUCACUGGCCCGGUACUGACGCUGAGGCGCGAAAGCGUGGGGAGCAAACAGG